rnacentral:tRNA from 1 species
UGGGUUGUGGCUCAGUGGUAGAGCGCUUGCUUGCCCAGCAUAUAUGAGGCACUGAGUUCAAUCCUCAGCACCACAU